rnacentral:rRNA from 1 species
GAUUUUUACCCUAUAAUAUUUUAGUCAUCGCAUGAUGAUUAUCUUAAAACUCCGGUGGUUAUAGAUGGGCAUGCGGCCUAUUAGUUUGUUGGUGAGGUAAUGGCUCACCAAGACUACGAUAGGUAGGGGGUCUGAGAGGAUGAUCCCCCACACUGGUACUGAGACACGGACCAGACUCCUACGGGAGGCAGCAGUAGGGAAUAUUGGACAAUGGACGAAAGUCUGAUCCAGCCAUGCCGCGUGCAGGAUGACGGCCCUAUGGGUUGUAAACUGCUUUUAUAUAGGAAGAAACCUUUUUACGUGUAGAAAGCUGACGGUACUAUAUGAAUAAGGACCGGCUAACUCCGUGC